CCAACGCAAGUUGGAGGAAGGUGGGGAUGACGUCAAAUCAUCAUGCCCCUUAUGUCUAGGGCCACAAACGUGCUACAAUGGUCGGUACAAACAGUCGAUAAUUCGUAAGAUAGAGCUAAUCUGUAAAGCCGAUCUCAGUUCGGAUAGAGGGCUGAAAUUCGCCCUCUUGAAGUUGGAAUCACUAGUAAUCGCGAAUCAGCCAUGUCGCGGUGAAUACGUUCUCGGGUCUUGUACACACCGCCCG
rnacentral:rRNA from 1 species